rnacentral:rRNA from 1 species
UGGGGAAUUUUGGACAAUGGGCGAAAGCCUGAUCCAGCAAUGCCGCGUGUGUGAAGAAGGCCUUCGGGUUGUAAAGCACUUUUGUCCGGAAAGAAAUCCUUGGCUCUAAUACAGUCGGGGGAUGACGGUACCGGAAGAAUAGGCACCGGCUAACUACGUGCCAGCAGCCGCGGUAAUACGUAGGGUGCAAGCGUUAAUCGGAAUUACUGGGCGUAAAGCGUGCGCAGGCGGUUUGCUAAGACCGAUGUGAAAUCCCCGGGGCUCAACCUGGGGAACUGCAUUUGGGUGACUGGCAGGCUAGAGUAUGGCAGAGGGGGGUAGAAUUCCACGUGUAGCAGUGAAAUGCGUAGAGAUGUGGAGGAAUACCGAUGGCGAAGGCAGCCCCCUGGGCCAAUACUGACGCUCAUGCACGAAAGCGUGGGGAGCAAACAGGAUUAGAUACCCUGGUAGUCCACGCCCUAAACGAUGUCAACUAGUUGUUGGGGAUUCAUUUCCUUAGUAACGUAGCUAACGCGUGAAGUUGACCGCCUGGGGAGUACGGUCGCAAGAUUAAAACUCAAAUGAAGG